CCAUCAUCGUCAUCAUCAUUUGCUGUACCAGGACGAGCCACAGGAAUCAAAACAGGUUUUUCAAGUUCGCACAUGUUGGAUCGAGCUACAAUGAAUUGUUCUCUAAAACAGAACCAUGAAUUAAACUGUUUUUUUUUUUUUCUGUGUGCUGGCUGUGUUCUGGCCAUUUCUAUGUUCUGGCCAUGUUCCGGCCAUGUUCCACUAAUGUUAUGUUCGCAUGCUGAUGUUCCUAAUAACCAAUAGGGUUCAUGAAUUGAUUUCCUCAACGGUGAGGUGCCACCUACUUCACUAUCCAGACCACCUGCUGACACCCAAAGGAAACUGCGCGAGCCACUUGUAGAUGCCCCCUCUGUGCCUACAGUGAAGCGACCUGUGGCCCUUCCUCCUGAGCUGCAGUUUCUGGUGAAAGAGCUUCCUAGUCACCAGCAAACAGAGAGGACUGGCUCAGCACCAGGAACCCUCCCACCUUCGGAGACCUCCUCUGGCCUUCAUACACAUGAGCCAACACACACUGGUCCUUCUGCUGUUGUUCGUCCACCGACAAGCAGACCAGACCCUCAUACACCUGAGACACCACGCAGUAAGAGGUUUUUUAUGACUAUUCUGAAGAUGUAACUGUGGUCAAAAUACAUUUUAAUUUAUUAUAUAAUCUGUGAUGAUAAU
rnacentral:lncRNA from 1 species